UUUUAUUGGGCCUAAAGCGUCCGUAGCCGGUUUAAUAAGUCUCUGGUGAAAUCCUGCAGCUUAACUGUGGGAAUUGCUGGAGAUACUAUUAGACUUGAGACCGGGAGAGGUUAGAGGUACUCCCAGGGUAGAGGUGAAAUUCUGUAAUCCUGGGAGGACCGCCUGUUGCGAAGGCGUCUAACUGGAACGGUUCUGACGGUGAGGGACGAAAGUUAGGGGCGCGAACCGGAUUAGAUACCCGGGUAGUCCUAACUGUAACGAUGCGGACUUGGUGUUGGGUGGCUUUGAGCUGCUUCAGUGCCGAAGGGAAGCUGUUAAGUCCGCCGCCUGGGAAGUACGGUCGCAAGACUGAAACUUAAGGAAUUGGCGGGGGAGCACCACAACGCGUGGAGCCUGCCGGUUUAAUUGGAUUCAACGCCGGACAUCUCACCAGAGGCGACAGCUGUAUGAUAGCCAGGUUGAUGACUUUGCUUGACUAGCUGAGGAGUGGUGCAUGG
rnacentral:rRNA from 1 species